rnacentral:lncRNA from 10 species
AAAUAAAAUAAAGAUAAGAUACAGGUCUGAUGCUGGUCUGGGCAGAAAUGGAUUUGUCACCUCAAAGAUGACUUCCUUGGGCACAACUAGGCCAGACGCUGGGUACCUUGUGGUGGCCCUGGAGGGGUACAGCUUCAAGAAAGAACUUGCCGAUCCCCUGCAAAGAAUGCAGUUAGCCAACAGCCUUCGGCCUCAGCACAUUUGAGAUCUGCCUUAACUUUCAAGCCAAGGCUAGCUCUUCCUGAGCAGGCUCCAGCGAAGAACCUGCAUGGAGGGACUAGGACCCGACCAGUUCUGCCCAACAUGGGGCUCCCCUAACAAACAGUCUUUGUUCUGGAGCUCCCAAACUGAGUUGACAAAGCCUCUGUCAGCCCUGCAUUGCCGUCUGAGGCUCCCCUGCUGAGUGCUGCUUUCACCCACUUUUGUCUUUCACAGGCAUGACACUCCUCCCUCUCGUCCUACUAGCUCCACUUUACCAUCUGCUUCCCAGAGGACUGGAACUGACAUGCUGCCUUUACUACCCCGCAACCAUUCUCACCCCACCUCCACAUAUGCCUGCCCAAAUAAUCUUGAUUUUGGGCUCAGCUACUAGAUCGAAAUCCCUUCAUCUUUGGAGAGUGGGUUGCUCCCCAGCCCCAGCAGAUAAAUCAUGAUCUGUCUUAAGUAGACCCAGUAAGUCCUUUCUGUUCUACAGGAAUUGGUCCAGGAUGGGUGCCUGGUCCGCCUUUUAGCCAAUGAGAGGUCAGGGGAAAUCUGGGGCUUCACUUUACUAAUAACAUAGACCUUCAGGUAGUUAAAGCCUUCUGCCCUGCCCCUUCCCUUCCAUUUUGAUCAGUGUCCUGUGAUCAAAUGAUGUGAGGCACUGCAGCAGCUGUUUUGGGCAAUGAGUUUGAGGACAAAAGCCAACUGCUGAAGAUGACAGAGCAGAAAGAUGAGAAGAGCCUGAGUCCUGAAGAACACCCCCGAGCCCCUGCAAUGACUCUGGAGCUGCUGACCUCCACAUGUUUUGCUAUAAAAAAAAAGAUUGCAUUUCUUCUUUGCUCAAGCCACCAUGAAUCAGGCAUGCUGUGACUGGCCGCUGAAAAUAUGGUAACGCAUGCAGUCACAUUCCCCAUGUUCUAUUCUCCAGAUUACCUUCAAACAACUGAAGGUACAGGACUCAGAGUUCCCGUUGAGGUAUUUGAACUAUUUUCCUGGAAGGGAAAUAUUCAAAAAGUCCUCUCAGCCCCGGGCACAGUGGCUUACACUGUGGAUUACAAAAGGACUUUUAAGGACUCAUAGGAUUACAAAAUCCUGUAAUCCCAGCACUUUGGUGGGCAGGUCACCUGAGAUCAGGAGUUCAAGACCAGCCUGGCCAAAAUGGUGAAAUCCCGUCUGUACUAAAAUUAUAAAAAUUACCGAGUGUGGAGGUGCAUGCCUGUAAUUCCAGCUACUGGGGAGGCUGAGGCAGGAGAAUCACUUGAACCCGGGAGGCCGAGGUUGCAGUGAGCUGAGAUCACACCAUUGCACUCUAGCCUGGGCAACAGAGUGAGACUGCAUCUAAAAAAAAAAACCAAAAAAAUUAUCUCAUUUCCAACUUGCCAACACCUGUGAUAAUGUAAACCAAAAAUGAAAUUCUAAGCCCCUCAACUGACUGAAUGAAUCCCCAUCUUCACCAAGGUGAUCCCAAAGAAAACCUGAAAAACUAGUUCAGGCCAUGAUGGGAAGGAAGGUCAGAUAUGCCUCUUCGCCUCUUCAUACUUUCCUCCCUUUGGAGUUUAGGCACAACUGGUCAGCAUUCAUAUUAAAAUACAGAUCAUCAUAGGGCGGGCAUGGUGGCUCACGCCUGUAAUCCCAGCACUUUGGGAGGCCGAGGCAGGCAGAUCACUUGAAGUCAGGAGUUUGAGACCAGCCUGGCCAACAUGGUGAAACCCCGUCUCUACCAAAAAUACAAAAAUUAGCCAGGCAUGGUGGCAGGCGCCUGUAAUCCCAGCUACUUGGGAGGCUGAGGCAGGAGAAUUGCUUGAACCUGGGAGGUGGAGGUUGCAGUGAGCUGAGUUCGCUCCACUGCAAUCCAGCCUGGGUGACAGAGCGAGACUCCAUCUCAAAAAACAAAACAAAACACAAAAAACCAGAUCAUCAGAUGGACAAAACAGACUCUUUGUGCAAUAAGAUACCAAAUUCCAACCUGACCCUGUAUGUGAUGUAGAGCAUAACAGUGACAGAUAACAGGCCCUAAGGAAAGUCAAAGUAUUUUACCCCAAGAUAUAUUUAUUUGACAUAUUUUGGAGUGACCCUGCAAAGCCCACUCUUUGCCUUCUGUAGCGAAUCCCCUUCCUGUUCCAGGUCUUUUCCUGAUCCAGGAGAGAAUUAAACUAAGAGUCUAACACCUUUUGAGGUCUAAUAAGAGAAAUCUACCAUCUAUCCUGUCUGAAGCUGGGUGCUUAGAGGCUUCAUCUACAUAAACAAGAACCUUGGCUUCCACAACUCUCUUACCUUAACUCAAGCAUUUCUUUUUCUUUCUUUUUUUUUUUUUUGAGUUGGGUUCUCACCCUGUCACCUAGGCUGGAGUGCAGUGGUGUGAUCUCAGCUCACUGAAACCUCUGCCUCCCAGGUUCAAGCCAUCCUCCUGACUCCACCUCCUGAUAGCUGGGAGCACAGGUGCGUACCACCACGCUGGGCUAAUUUUUGGUAGAGUCAGGGGUCUCUCCAUGUUGCCCAGUCUGGCCUGGGACUCCUAGGCUCAAGCGAUCCACCCGUCUUGGCCUCCUAAAGUGCUGGGAUUAUAGGUGUGAGCCACCGCACCUGACCUCAAACAUUUCUUUAUGCUGACUUCAACUCCUCAGGCAAUGCUUCACUCUUUCAAUCAAUUGCCAAUAAGGAAAUCUUCGAAUCCACCUAUGCCCUGGAAGUCCCUCUGCUUCCAUCUUUGAGAUGUCCUGCCUUUUGAGGCUGAACCAAUGUAUACAUUUCAUGUAUUGCUUUAUGUCUUUGUUUGUGACUUCCAUCUCUCUAAAAUGUAUAAAACCAAACUGCAACCUGACCACCUUGUGCAUAUGUCCUCAGGACCCCCUGAGGCUGUGUCACGGGCCAUGAUCACUCAUAUUUGGGUCAGAAUAAACUUCUUCAAAUAUUUUACGGAGUUUGGCUUUUUUCCUCAACAAUACUUACCUCUCCCUUGCUUCAAACCCUCCCAUGGCUCCCCAGUACUUUUUCAGUUUUUUUUUUGAGACAGAGUUUUGCUCUUUUUGUCCAGGCUGGAGUGUCGUGGUGCGAUC